UUAAAGGCUGUGAAAAAGAGGAGUAGGCAGUCAAAACUUACAGAGAGGAAGGUCCAGAGGUUGAGAGGCCUUCUAAGUCCCUUGCUGCUGAAGGUAGCUUUGGAGCCUUCCACCUGAAAUAAAGUAGGGUGGAACGGGAGACCGUUAUCUAAAUGAGUGCCAGGUUUUCUGGAAUAAAGGUGGUACCGCGGUCCCUCGCCCUUUUU
rnacentral:ncRNA from 1 species